rnacentral:lncRNA from 1 species
GGCGAGCCCUUGCUACCGCUGCUGCCUCUGCCCUCUGCGCCAGACCACGCCGCCGUGCACCACUACCCCCUGCUCCACGGACAGUGGCUAUUUGGCGGUCAUUCUCCGUCCAUAGGACUAUCCCCCUCCUCCACUGUGGAGUUGGUGCCCAUUUUCCCACCUGUCUGCACUUCUACUCUGCCACCUCCUGUUGGGAAGAGUUGGAUAGAUAAAAGGACGCCAAAUUGCAAGAUCUUUUUUAAUAAUUCCUUUGCUCUGGAUUCAACGUGGAUACUUCCUGAGGAGUCAAGACUGUUUCAUGGGCUUGAAAAGCCUCAUGUCCUGGCAAAUCAAGUAGCUCUGUCUCUGUCCAGACCAGCACCUGCAUCCAGGCCUCUUCCUACCAUGGUGUUAGCACCUCAGCCUACACCAGGUUGGUGCCCAAAAUAGCAGUGGCAAUAUUUGUUUGUCUUUGUCAUAGUUUAGUAAUAAAAUCUAUUUGUCACUUUAAUGACAUAAUGCUUUUGGUAAAGUCUCUUGUAAUUUAAUCCAUGGUAUGAAUUUAUUUAUUUUAUUUAUUUAUUUAUUUAUUUAUUUAUUUUUGGUACUGGGUAUCAAACUUGGGACCUUGUGCUUGCAGAGCAGAUGGUGGCACCACUGAGCUAAAUCCCCGGCUCUAUGAAUUUAUUUUUAAUUGAAUCUUGGGUAGCUCAUCCACUUUUUUUGAUAAG